rnacentral:lncRNA from 1 species
CGGAGGGAGCCGGCUGUCCUGUGUCUCCUCUUUUUCCUGCCCCCAGUGACUUGCAUUUUCUCUGAGACAGCUGCCAUUCUAGUCUCCCAGCCAUUCUUAGGAAGAGACGUGCCUGUCUCUGGGAAGAGGCAACUUCUCUGCAUGUCAGAGACACCAUUGGCACUGCAUUCCCUGUUGAAUGACGCCCCCUGGAACACAGCUUUAUAGACUUCAAUGUGAAUAGUGCCCCCUAGAAUUGUUCAAGUUGGCAGUACAGAGCCUAAUAUUUGUUGAAAAGAGGCCACAGGCGAUCUACUCUCUCUGCUCAUCUUCCUG